rnacentral:rRNA from 1 species
GACGAACGCUGGCGGCGUGCUUAACACAUGCAAGUCGAACGGAAAGGCCCUGCUUUUGUGGGGUGCUCGAGUGGCGAACGGGUGAGUAACACGUGAGUAACCUGCCCUUGACUUUGGGAUAACUUCAGGAAACCGGGGCUAAUACCGGAUAGGAGCUCCUGCUGCAUGGUGGGGGUUGGAAAGUUUCGGCGGUUGGGGAUGGACUCGCGGCUUAUCAGCUUGUUGGUGGGGUAGUGGCUUACCAAGGCUUUGACGGGUAGCCGGCCUGAGAGGGUGACCGGCCACAUUGAGACUGAGAUACGGCCCAGACUCCUACGGGAGGCAGCAGUGGGGAAUAUUGCACAAUGGGCGGAAGCCUGAUGCAGCAACGCCGCGUGCGGGAUGACGGCCUUCGGGUUGUAAACCGCUUUCGCCUGUGACGAAGCGUGAGUGACGGUAAUGGGUAAAGAAGCACCGGCUAACUACGUG